rnacentral:misc_RNA from 1 species
AACGUUGCAUUGAACGUAGAAGCUCGGAUGCCUUGUUAAGAUUGUUCUGAGAGCGAUACAUGUUGAUCAGCAAGGAAUACGUUUCCCUCCUCGGGAUUUCUCCAAGCUGAACCAUUGAAUCGAGUUGUUUCUCUGCCUCUGCAAGUUGUCCUCCUUCACUUAAGCUCUUGAUCAGAAUGCUCCAAGUGUUUAUGCUUGGCCUUUGAUUUCUACAUAACAUCUCCGCAUGGAAAUUCAGGGCUACAUCCAGUUUACGCCAGGUACAGUAACUUUGAACAACGUAAUCAAAACUGCUGGACUCUGGCACGUUCCCGUUUCUCAACAUGAUGUCCAUAAGAUCUACUGAUUUAUCUACCCUUCCGUGCUGACAAAAUCGCUUGAUGAGAUAAGUGUAAUCAAUAUUUGCAGGAAUGAGGCAUUUCAUUGCCAUCCGAUCCAAAAAGUUUAUGGCUUCGCCUAGCUUACCAUUAGAAAGAAGGGUCUCCACUAUAUUGUU